CUUCAUCUUCCUUAUCUCCAAACGCAGUGCAUUGCUUGAUCUACUUGAAUCCUUCCUGACUACUAAAUCUCCAGAAGGUCUUUGUGCAAGUCAACUUGCAUGUAGGGUUGUGUUAUUUUUUCAGAACAGUGGUGGCUG